UGGAUAUUUAAAUAUGAGUGCCUCUAAAAUAAAAGAUAAUAAUGAAAUGUAAGGGGCUACAAGCUGCGGGAGGCAGUCCAUACUGCAUCAAUUUCACUGGGAUCUUUAACCCUUCGGCUGUUUUAGGUUAGGGAGUUUAAAGAUUUCAUUUUUAUUUUACAUGUGUUUUGCCUAUCUGUCUAUGCACAUAAAUGUUGUGUCCAAGGAGACCCAGAAAGGGCAUUGCAUCUCCUAGAACUGGAGUUACAAUUGUGAGCCACCACAUGGGUACUAGGAACUGAACCCAGGUCCUCUGCAAGAGCAGCCAGUGCUAAGCCACCUCUCCAUUUUUUAAAAAUUUAAAAAUUUUUUAAAAAGCAUUUUGCUACAUGAGCCCAGACUGACCUCCAAGGCCCCCUGGCCCCAGCCUUCUAGCUGCUUCUGGGAUUGUAGGUGUUGCCACCACACCUGGCUGAAUUGUUUUCAAGACAGUCUAUCCAGACUGACUCCAACUUGAGGUCCCCUCCUCUCUCAGCCUGUCAGUUCCUGAGAUUAAAGUGUACACCAGCACACUGGGCUCAGUUAAAUUUCUCUCUCACACUUUCAACAGAGGGAGAGGGAGAGGUAGAGGUAGGUGUGUGUGUGUGUUUGUGUGUGUGUGUUCUGAUUUAAAAGUAGCCAUAAAAUUCUUAAGCUAAAAUUCUUAGCUUAAGAAAUCUAAGAAUUCAGCUAACAUUAGCGGCAGUGACUGCAGAGUGCCUCUGUCUUAAGGAAUGCACACUGAAAACAUCUUGAUCUACAACUGACUUUAACUAUCCACGAAGCCAAAGCCACAGUGCCCAGUGCUCUGGGAUGGAGCAAUGGACUCUGCUGCCAUCACCAAUCCAGCGUUUUCUAUCCACUUGGGCUUUGAAGACCACAGCUGGAGCAAGCCGGGAGCACAGUGGAGGCCCCUGGUGCUGAGAUGGUGUGGGGCACACUCAGACAUGUCUGUGCCCCCACAACCACUCUGGGAUCCUCAAAAGGUGGUCCCCAAUAACCAGGCAACUAUGCUGGGGACUGAGUUUGAGAGGCAGUUGGAGCAACUGUCAAGAUUCAUACCUAUUAUCUCUCCUAAAACCUGCAAGCUGUGGCUUUACACUGGAGUCACCACAGUCCUGGCUAAUCACACAGCCCCACACACUAUAGCUCUCUGGUGUUUGUUUCACUGGUAGGCAGGAGCGCCCACUGAUGUCAUCAGUUCAAAAAACCUGCCACAGUGCAGCUGGAGACAAACAGAAGUGACCUUAAAUGAUGCUACUUUUUAAAACAGGCUUUACAUUUUUUUAAACAACAUUUAUUUGCAUUGGGGUGUAUGUGCACCUAUGUGAGGAAGCCUUCCACAGGAGGACAAUUUGGCUGGAGUCAGUUCUCUCCUUCCGCCAAAAUGGUGCCAGAAUUUAACUCAAUCACCAGGCUCGGCAACAAGCACCUCUAUCUGCUAAGCCUUCUUCUCCUCCAGCCUCCACUAGGCUUUUAAAAAACAUCAUUAGGUAAUAUUUUUAAAAGUAGUCCCAAAACCGGCAAGACCCUGACAGCAGGAGCCCCAUGCACAUGAAUUCCAAAGCUAUUCAAACCCAAAUUCAAUUGGCAAAGCUGGGAAAGUUUGCCUCCUUUUCAAUUGUUGUAUUAGAUGACGUCUCUGCUUCAGCUUUAAAGGGGACAGUAAAGGUCCAUUCCUGCUGUUGACACAAGAGGCAGGCAUCCUCAGCGGUGCACCCACACCACGUGGUUUCAAAGUUCCAGACAACCAGUGCAUGGCUCUGCUCUCCACCCCUGCCCACAAUGGAGACCAACUUUGGAGCACAAUGAAACUGACACUGCACACUGUCAGGCAGAGGCAGUGACCUGACUCCCAGAGCCAUCGGCACCUUCGGAGCCACCGGCAGCAGGGAUAUGGUUUCUCUGUGAAACAGCCCCGGUCGUCCUGGAACCCAUUCUACAAGGCCAGGCUGGCCUCAAACUCACAGAGAUUGGCCUGACUCUGUCUACCAAGUGCUGGGAUUAAAGGUGCUUGCCGCCACCACCUGGCUGGUGAUUUCUUUAAUGGCCAAUUAAGGAGGGGACACUCAGGCUGGGAGGAAAUACCUGCAGGACGCACAACAAAGGAGCUGAAGGAACUAAACCAACGGGGAAAAAUCACUAUAAAUAAAAGGGAUACAGGA